AAGACUGCACUUCAGAGGAUCGUUUCUGUAGGCAAGUCUUCAGCUUUUCGUUUCCAAAAAAAACCAUAUCCACCCACGAUGACACGAGUGUGAAUAGUGUCCAUCCUGGAGCGUGAAACAAGCAGCAUCUGCGGACGAGUACCGCAUUUUUGCUGCCUUUGAUGAUCGGUUCCAUUUGCAAAGGAUUGGACACAUUCCGAGUGGU